rnacentral:sRNA from 1 species
CAAGUUUUGACUGCGGGUGGCGCAGUAUCCUAGUCGGCACCCGUGCUUCUGAAGGCGGGCCUAAAAAUCCGCCGUAUGGGCACAUCGAUGAAGUUCCUGGUGGCGGCUGCCGACGCCCAGUCGGGGGUCGCUGCUGGGAGUUAAGGGGCCGGGGCGAUCUGCAACGGCAUGCAGGCGUUGACCCUGACCCCGCGGAGGCCCAUGGCCGUGGCAGGACCGGAACCGGGAUGGCUACGGCAUGGGGUAUGAACCUGCAUGCGGGAUGACCGUGUGCAGCGUAGCCUGCCCUGCGUGGGCAGGGUGGAGGUGGCGAGACGGCCGUCCGCGCCGGCGGGCCCCCGGCCGGGCGGCUUGCCCUGAAACCCUGCCUGCUAAACGGGCUAGGAAGCACGGGGCGCCGCCGGGGAAAACCCCUAGGCUGUUUCCCGUUGGGGAAGGCCCGCUGGGGAUUACAGUGCGCGCUAAGUGGCAAUCUAGCCCUGCCGGCGGCGACGCGGCAGGCUGGCUGCGCAAAGGGAAACCGCCGGGCCGGCGACGGCCCGGUCGGCCAGCGGGAAAUCCUGCUAGACCUCAAGCCGCAACGUUUACUCAGCGGGCUGCCACCCGCAGCCCUUUUAUG